CGAGUUUGAUCAUGGCUCAGAAUGAACGCUGGCGGCAGGCCUAACACAUGCAAGUCGAACGGAUCCUUCGGGAUUAGUGGCGGACGGGUGAGUAACGCGUGGGAACGUACCCCUUUCUUCGGAAUAGCCUCGGGAAACUGGGAGUAAUACCGGAUAAGCCCUAUUGGGGAAAGAUUUAUCGGGAAGGGAUCGGCCCGCGUUGGGUUAGGUAGUUGGUGGGGGUAAUGGCCUACCAAGCCGACGAUCCAUAGCUGGUUUGAGAGGAUGAUCAGCCACACUGGGACUGAGACACGGCCCAGACUCCUACGGGAGGCAGCAGUGGGGGAAUCUUAGACAAUGGGGGAAACCCUGAUCUAGCCAUGCCGCGUGAUCGAUGAAGGCCUUAGGGUUGUAAAGAUCUUUCAGUGGGGAAGAUAAUGACGGUACCCACAGAAGAAGCCCCGGCUAACUCCGUG
rnacentral:rRNA from 1 species